rnacentral:rRNA from 1 species
AUUGAACGCUGGCGGCAUGCCUUACACAUGCAAGUCGAACGGUAACAGGUCUUCGGAUGCUGACGAGUGGCGAACGGGGGAGUAAUGCAGCGGAACGUGCCCAGUUGUGGGGGAUAACUUCCCGAAAGAGCAGCUAAUACCGCAUACGACCGGAGGGUGAAAGCGGGGGAUCGCAAGACCUCGCGCAAUUGGAGCGGCCGAUGUCGGAUUAGGUAGUUGGUCGGGUAAAGGCCUACCAAGCCGACGAUGUGUAGUUGGUCUGAGAGGACGACCAGCCACACUGGGACUGAGACACGGCCCAGACUCCUACGGGAGGCAGCAGUGGGGAAUUUUGGACAAUGGGCGCAAGCCUGAUCCAGCAAUGCCGCGUGCAGGAAGAAGGCCUUCGGGUUGUAAACUGCUUUUGUCAGGGAAGAAAUCCUCUGGGUUAAUACCCCGGGGGGAUGACGGUACCUGUAGAAUAAGCACCGGCUAACUACGUGCCAGCCGCCGCCGUAACAC